GGAGGCUGCUGAAGCGCGGCCUGGCCGAGCCCCUGGAGCUGCCCGGCAGCCGCGGCUCCGACGCCGUCGUUUGCGCCAAAGUCACCGACGUCGACUUCGACGGCGCCGCCGAGAUCCUGCUGGGCACCUACGGCCAGGAGCUGCUCUGUUACAAGUAUUUUGGGUCCGAUUCGGGCGGUUUUGGCCAAUUCCGGCCGCUGUGGUCGCGGCGCUUCCCCUCCCCGCUGCUGGCGCUGGAGCCGCUGGACCUGACGGGGGAUGGGCUGCGGGAGCUCGCCGUGGUCUGCCUGGGGGGGCUGCACGUGCUCCAGCACAGCCUGGAGCCGACGGCGCGGCUGCUCCGGGAGCGGCUGCUGCGGGAGGUGCAGCAAAAACGGGGCGAGAAACGGCAAAAUCGGGCAAAAGCCGCCGAGAAACCGGGCAAGAACGCAGGAAAUGCGGAAAAAACGGCGGCAAAUUGGGAGGAAACCGCGGAAAAAUGGGCAAAGGAUCUGGGGAAACAGGAAAAAAACCCGGAAAAUUGGGGAA